UACAACCUAGAACGUGCCCUUCUUGGGGAUGU
rnacentral:piRNA from 1 species